AGCAGUGGGGAAUCUUGGACAAUGGGCGCAAGCCUGAUCCAGCCAUGCCGCGUGAGUGAUGAAGGCCUUAGGGUCGUAAAGCUCUUUCGCCAGAGAUGAUAAUGACAGUAUCUGGUAAAGAAACCCCGGCUAACUCCGUGCCAGCAGCCGCGGUAAUACGGAGGGGGUUAGCGUUGUUCGGAAUUACUGGGCGUAAAGCGUACGUAGGCGGAUUAGUCAGUCAGAGGUGAAAUCCCAGGGCUCAACCCUGGAACUGCCUUUGAUACUGCUAGUCUUGAGUUCGAGAGAGGUGAGUGGAAUUCCAAGUGUAGAGGUGAAAUUCGUAGAUAUUUGGAGGAACACCAGUGGCGAAGGCGACA
rnacentral:rRNA from 1 species